GGAAAUGUACCUGAAUAUAAAGGGUCACUAUGAUAAAGUGAACAUAGAGGCACCCAAUCCUCUCAUUUCCU
rnacentral:tRNA from 1 species